CUGCUGCCUCCCGUAGGAGUCUGGGCCGUGUCUCAGUCCCAGUGUGGGGGGCCUUCCUCUCAGAACCCCUACGCAUCGUCGCCACGGUGGGCCGUCACCCCGCCGUCUAGCUAAUGCGCCGCAUGCCCAUCCGCCACCGGAUCGCUCCUUUGGCCACCGGAGGAUGCCCUCCGGUGGCGUCACGGGGUAUUAGGCCGCGUUUCCGCGGGCUAUCCCCCUGUGGCGGCCAGGUUGCAUACGUGUUACUCACCCGUGCGCCGGUCGCCGGG
rnacentral:rRNA from 1 species